GGGACAAGAAGUUAUUCCGGUUAGCUAAAGUAAGGGAGAGGAAGGCGCAAGAUCUGGACCAAGUUUGGUGCAUCAAGGACGAUGGUAGAGUUUUGAUGGGGAGUCUCAAGUCAAGCAGAGGUGGAAGACAUACUUUCGAGACCUUCUUAACGAGGAGGGGGAUCGAAACAUAGAGCUAGGGGAGCUGGGGCAUUCAGAGCGUCAUAGAGACCUUGGGUACUGCAGGCACAUUAGCGUGGAGGAGGUCAUGGGGUCUUCGCGUAUGAUGAGUAGGGUUCGAGCGACCGGGCCUGACAAGAUCCAGGUGGAGUUCUGGAAAUGCAUGGGUAGGUCAGGAGCGGAGUGGCUCUCCAGGUUAUUCAAUGCGAUCUUCAGGACCAAAAGGAUGUCGGGCAUUCAGAGCAUCUUAGAGACCUUGGGUACUGCAGGCGUAUUAGAGUGGAGGAGGUCAUGGGGGCUUUGCGUAGGAUGAGCAAGGGUCGAGCGACUGGGCCUGACGAGAUCCCGGUGGAGUUCUGGAAAUGCAUGGGUAGGUCUGGAGUGGGGUGACUCUCUAGGUUGUUCAAUGCGAUCUUCAUGACCAAAAGGAUACCGGAAGAGUGGAGGUGGAGUACGGUGGUGCCCUUGUACAAGAACAAA
rnacentral:lncRNA from 1 species